CACAAUCACCCUCAACCAUAUAAUUUCAACCACAAACCCUCUGAACCCUUCUCUCCCCUCUCUUCCUCACGAUUGAUCUCCUGUCCCGCCUCUUCCCCAACCGAGCUUUCCUCCGAAGCCCACCGCGAUCUCUCUCGUCGCCUUCGAAGAUAAGGAGCCAGCAGAAAAGCAAAGUCUCAUUAGAACAAGGAAAUGCUGCAUCUAAAAUUGAGUUUUUUGUGAAAUUUUGGAUUCAUCACAAUGUCAGGGUUGCUUAAUUCAGGCCAGAGUGGUUCAGCUUCAAAUCUCUCUGACUCCAUAGGCAGACCUUUUGCAACAUCUUUUUCUGCUCAAUCUGCAACAGUUCCUGGUUUUCAUCACUCUGGUGGUAUGCAAGGACUGCACAACAUUCACGGUAGCUUCAAUGUUCCAAACAUGCCAAGCUCACUUGCAUCACGGAAUGCAGCAAUGAGUGGUGUACCAUCUAGUGCUGUUCAGCAACCUGGGGGAAGCAUUUCAAGUGGGAGAUUUGCGUCAAAUAAUAUUCCAUUUGCCAUGUCUCAGCUUUCACAUGAACAUUCGGGUGUCACCAGUAGAGGGGGCAUCAAUGUAGUAGGGAACCUUGCUUUUAGUAACAGCACAAAUGGAGUUGGUGGUUCGGUACCUGGGAUUUCCUCGAACUCAGCUAGUGCUGGUAACCGUACUUCUGUUCCUGGGAUUGGAGUUUCUCCAAUUUUGGGAAAUUUAGGUCCCCGAAUCACAGGCUCAGUCGGCAAUGUUGUUGGUGGAAGCAACACUGGAAGAAGCAUAAGCUCUGGAGGAUUAUCUGUUCCUGGUCUUGCAUCACGUAUGAAUUUAACUGCCAAUACGGGAAAUGGAAGUCUAAAUGUGCAAGGUUCUAAUAGGUUGAUGAGUGGCAUUCUUCAACAAGCACCACAGAUGAUUGGUAUGCUUGGAAAUUCUUAUCCCACAUCUGGAGGACCAUUAUCUCAGAGCCAAGUCCAAACAGGAAAUCAUUCAUUAAGCUCUGUGGGGAUGUUACAUGAUGUAAACUCUAGUGAUAAUGCUCCUUUCGACAUAAAUGAUUUUCCUCAUUUCAUGGGUCGUCCUAGUUCUGCUGGAGGACCUCAGGGGCAAUUGGGUUCACUGCGAAAGCAAGGGAUUGGGGUUGGCUCUAUUGUACAAAAGAGCCAGGAAUUUAGCAUACAAAAUGAAGAUUUUCCAGCUUUGCCUGGAUAUAAAGGCAAUAGCUCAGAUUUUUCUAUGGAUUUGCAGCAGAAGGAACAAGUUCAUGAUAACAUGUCCAUGAUCCAGUCACAUCACCUACCUAUGGCAAGAUCCCCUGCUUUUAACUUAGGAGGGACCUGCCCGCCUAACCGUCAACAACAACAACAGCAGAAUGCUUCUUCAGUCAACAAUGGUGGAGUCUUUGCACCUGGAAAUAACCAAGAUCUACUACAUAUGCAUGGCUCUGAUCUGUUUCCAUCCUCUCAUGGAACCUAUCACUCUCCGGUUCAGAACACUGGGCCUCCGAGCAUUGGAUUGAGACCUCUGAAUUCUCCCAAUACUGCUUCUAGUUUAGGAACUUAUGAGCAGCUUAUUCAGCAGUAUCAACAACCACAGAAUCAAUCUCCAUUUCACUUGCAACAAAUGUCUGCUGUUUCUCAAUUAUAUAGAGAUCAGAGUGUGAAGUCCAUGCAGGGGACACAACCUCCUCCUGAUCGGUUUGGCUUGCUGGGUUUGUUAAGUGUAAUAAGGACAAAUGAUCCAGAUCUGACAUCCCUUGCCUUAGGGAUUGACCUGAGGAGAUUAGGAUUGAAUUUGAACUCAUCAGAUAAUCUUCAUAAGACAUUUGGUUCCCCAUGGUCUGAUGAACCUGCCAAAGGAGAGCCUGAGUAUUGCAUUCCUACUUGCUAUGAUGCCAAACAACCACCACCACUACAGCAAGGGCAUUUUUCGAAGUUUCAGAGAGACACACUAUUUUACAUCUUUUACAGCAUGCCGAAAGAUGAAGUUCAAUUGUAUGCUGCCAACGAACUAUAUUCUCGAGGAUGGUUUUACCAUAGAGAACUCCGGUUGUGGCUCACAAGAAUUCCACAUGUGGAGCCACUUGUCAAGACUCAGACUUAUGAAAGGGGAUCCUACCUCUGUUUUGAUCCAAAUAUGUGGAAGAUAAUCCAUAAGGACAAUUUUGUUCUCCAAUAUGAGGCAAUAGAGAAGCCAACACUUCCUCCAAGUCACGCUUAACAUUAGUAAAUGCUUGGAAAAUAUACCUCACACCACCAGUUUCUGAUUUUCCUGGAGUUGGCAUGGCAAGCCUUACAUCUUCAAUGAUGAUGUGCCUGUUCAUUAAAGGUGAUAUUUCGUAAAUGACGGCACAGCACAAGCCGCCAUACCCCCGGAGGCUCCGCUUUACCGCAGAUCCACUCUGGUUUGGACGGAGAGGAUGGUGAAAGGGAAAGACCGAAGUUUCUCCGACACAACUCCGAUCGGAGAAACUUAUUGAUUUCUGCUUCCGUAAAGUUACAAGUGCCCUUUUUUACAUGUUUACUGAAAUUAUGAUCAGGAAGUUGCAGGUGUAAAGCCGACUUUACACCACUAGAAAAUUUAAUGACCCAAGUUUCAUAAUGAAAAUUAAAGCGUCAGCUGCGAUCUGCAACAUCUAUAAUCAUAUUUUUUGGAAACCUUUUUGCCUAUGCAUCAAGUCCUCCCAAAUGUAAGUUGUAAUGAUGUGAUAUGGCGUGACUUGAUGCAGAGGAUAGGAGUCUCCAUGAUUUGUUAUUUCAAGUCUUCUUGAUAGUCUGUUGGUUUAGAUUUUUGAAAUUUCUAACCACUAAUUUUUCAGUGGGUGUAAAGUCCUUUCUUGACACCCUGCAAGUAUUAUAGCUGCUCUUAUAUGCACAUAUGUAUGCACACCCAUAUAUACAUUUACAUACAUAUUAAACAUCCUUUUCAUCCAAAAGGAAAAUAUAUCAAACAUCCCUUUUCAAA